rfam:Oscillibacter sp. KLE 1745 genomic scaffold Scaffold83, whole genome shotgun sequence.
UAUAAUACCAGAUGCGUUCCAAAGACAGCAGGUGGCAUGAGCCAUAAAUCCUGCCGAGGGCGGCAAACUUGAUUUGCUAUCCGUCCCUGUGUCUUUGCGCACAGGGACGGUUCCUUUUUUUGAAC